rnacentral:tRNA from 1 species
GUCUCAGUAGCAUAGUGGUUAAUGCACCGACCCGGUUAGGCGCGAGGCGCGGGUUCGAAUCCCGCAUGAGAUG